GACCAGUGUCGUAGCUCAGUUGGCAGAGCAUUGGGCUGGUGUUCCAUUAAGGCCAUAGGUUCGAUUCCCAUCGUGGUCA